GAUGAAGAACGUAGCGAAAUGCGAUACGUAAUGUGAAUUGCAGAAUUCAGUGAAUCAUCGAAUCUUUGAACGCAUAUUGCGCUCUCUGGUAUUCCGGAGAGCAUGCUUGUUUGAGUAUCAGUAAACACCUCAACUUCCAUAUCUUUUUUGAAAUGGGAGUUGGACUUGAGUGAUCCCAACGCUUUUCCUCACCGAAAAGUGGCGGGUUACUUGAAAUGCAGGUGCAGCUGGACUUUUCUCUGAGCUAUAAGCAUAUCUAUUUAGUCUGCCUAAAAAACAGAUUAUUACCUUUGCUGCAGCUAACAUAAAGGAGAUUAGUUCUUGUGCAGACUGAUGCAGGAUUCACAAAGACGGCUUCGGCCGACUUUGUAAACUCGAUCUCAAAUCAAGUAAGACUACCCGCUGAACUUAAGCAUAUCAAUAAGCGGAGGA
rnacentral:misc_RNA from 1 species